CCCUGAGCCGGCGAAGAGCCCCAAGCCCGCCCAUGGGUAGCCCCAAGCCAAGCCGUCCUCAAGAGUGAGCGAAGCUUAAAGAAAUGCACUGACUCGGCAAAAUAAAACAUGGCAAGCUGGAGGGCAUGUAUUUCUGUCCAUAUUAGUAAUCAGCAGUCCUAUUCGCUCUGGCAUGCACGGAUGCGUGAUGUAGGGUAGUGCCGGCAUGCAAGUCAUAGCAGCAUAGCUUUACAUGUUAGUGUCAAUCGUAUCGCAGGGCUGAAGAGCACUAGCAGUCUGCGUGGUCGCCCUACUACGGAGCCCCUCUUUACCUGUAUCUGUGUUUUGGGGGCGCGUACCCAGAAUCUGUGCUCGCUGCUGUUGGCUUCCGAAGCUUGUAGGAUCCAAGGGGAAAUGUUAUUCGACUCGCUUUUGACGCAUUGCGUCGUUGCGCCGCCGUUGUGUGCCUCCAGGGAAACCAACCUAGCGAAUUGCAACCUUCGUACAUUGCUUCGUAUGUACGGCAGGGCUCAGCGAGCGUUUGUUGGGAUGAGGCGUACUUAUUGGGCGCACUUUCCAAGCAUCUUGUGCAUAGAGGAUUCCUGCGAGCCUGUUAAUUUGACCAAGAACGCUGUGUUUUACGAAAUGUGCGAUGAACGACCUGUGUGAUGAACGACCUGUGCGUACAAUUCUUUAGGAUGACUUCUCUUUUUUGGAUUCCAUCUAUCUACUGUCCGACGUUGAAAGUGAUUGGUUUGUGUACCCAUAGAAUUUCUUUCCAUCUUUUAACGCCUAUCCAUGCUGAUCGCCAGCUAGUAGCAAGUAGACUGAUGUAGGCGGUAGCUGCUUUGUGGAAUAGGAUGUGUGCCCGCGCCGUGCCUAUCCUGCGCGCGUGCCUAUUAAUUUCAGCGCAUAGACGAGGUUAAGAUGC
rnacentral:lncRNA from 1 species